rnacentral:rRNA from 1 species
UACGUAGGGUGCAAGCGUUAAUCGGAAUUACUGGGCGUAAAGCGCACGUAGGCGGUUUUUUAAGUCAGAUGUGAAAGCCCCGGGCUCAACCUGAGAAUUGCAUUUGAAACUGGGAAACUAGAGUGUGUGAGAGGGGGGUAGAAUUCCAAGUGUAGCGGUGAAAUGCGUAGAGAUUUGGAGGAAUACCAGUGGCGAAGGCGGCCCCCUGGCACAACACUGACGCUCAGGUGCGAAAGCGUGGGGAGCAAACAGG